GAUAAACGCUGGCGGCGUGCCUAACACAUGCAAGUCGAACGUCUCUGCCGCAAGGCAGGGGAGUGGCGGACGGGUGAGGAACACGUGGAUAUCUACCUCCGGGUGGGAAUACCGUCGGGAAACCGACGACAAGACCGCAUAGCCUUGGCAACAAGGAAAGCUUUGCCGUAAGGCAAGGCGCCGGGAGAUGAGUCUGCGUCCGAUUAGUUUGUCGGUGGGUAAUGGCCUACCGAGGCGACGAUCGGUAGCUGGUCUGAGAGGACGAUCAGCCACACUGGGAUUGAGAACGGCCCAGA
rnacentral:rRNA from 1 species